UACAGAGGUCCCGAGCGUUGUUCGGAUUCAUUGGGCGUAAAGGGUGCGUAGGUGGCGCCGUAAGUGGGGUGUGAAAUCCCGGGGCUUAACCCCGGGACUGCAUUCCAUACUGCGGUGCUUGAGGACUGGAGAGGAGACUGGAAUUUACGGUGUAGCAGUGAAAUGCGUAGAGAUCGGGAGGAACACCGGCGGCGAAGGCAGCACUCUGGGACGUGACUGACGCUGAGACGCGAAAGCGUGGGGAGCAAACAGG
rnacentral:rRNA from 1 species